GUGGGGAAUCUUCCGCAAUGGACGAAAGUCUGACGGAGCAACGCCGCGUGAGUGAAGAAGGUUUUCGGAUCGUAAAGCUCUUUCGUCAGGGACGAACGUAUUUCUUGUAAAUAAUGAGAGAUAGUGACGGUACCUGAAUAAGAAGCCACGGCUAACUACGUGCCAGCAGCCGCGGUAAUACGUAGGUGGCAAGCGUUGUCCGGAAUUAUUGGGCGUAAAGUGCGCGCAGGCGGGAUAUCAAGUCUGUCUUAAAAGUGCGAGGCUCAACCUCGUGAGGGGACAGAAACUGGUAUUCUUGAGUGUCGGAGAGGAAAGUGGAAUUCCAAGUGUAGCGGUGAAAUGCGUAGAGAUUUGGAAGAACACCAGUGGCGAAGGCGACUUUCUGGACGAUGUCUGACGCUGAGGCGCGAAAGCUAGGGGAGCGAACGGGAUUAGAAACCCCUGUAGUCC
rnacentral:rRNA from 1 species